rnacentral:misc_RNA from 1 species
UUGUGGUCGUGGGUUCGAGCC